GACCUGGCGGCGGCGCGGCAGCAAAACUGAGGAGGCGGAGCCAAGACGGUCCGGGCUGCUUGCUAACUCCAGAAACAGGUUUAAGUUUUUGAAACUGAAGUAGGUCUACACAGUAGGAACUCAUGUCGUUUCUUGUAAGUAAACCAGAGCGAAUCAGGGUGAGUGUUUUUCUAUUCUUCUGGCUUUACUAUUUUUGUUUUCUGAAAAGCAGUGUAUUUUGGCAGAUGUUGUAGGUGGUUUUCUAUGUGAGGGUCGGAAUGAUACGGAAGUGAGGGAUGUAGGAAGUAAGGCAGGUAGUGCCCCCUCCACUCCUGAGGAAGAGUUUGCCGACAGAGGCUGACCAGAGACACAAAAUUUACCACCAGCUUGUCUGAUAGAGAAGAAAUAAGAAGAAAGUGGCUUAUUUCAUGAAUAUCAGUCAUACAACAUUAAAUGAGUCGAUGAUACUUUUCAGUGUAGAUGUUUAACUGCUUAUGACCCCCUGUGAGUUUUCAAAAUCAAGUUGUAAUUACUAGGACACUUUUUUCUAAGUAAUAUCAUUAGUUUUAAUUGAAGACUUUUUGAACAUGAAAGAUUUUAUUAUACUUCAAAACUUCAUCAGAUAAAAUGACCUCAAAAACAAUACUAGAUUUAGCUUCUUUACAAAUUCCCAUUAUUUCAUAAGUUUCUUAUUUUCUUUAUUAUCAAGUACCUAAUUUCUAAAUGCAGUUGUAAUUAUUUUAGAAUUUUGUAACAGUGUAUAAGUGCUAUGAGAUAUUAUGAGUACACCACUUUCUUUACACAUUAAAGCAUAAUUUAUGUUUUUUGAUGCAGUGCAUAUAAUUUAUAUGAAGUUUUAAAUUUAGGAUGUUACUUCUUUUUUGAUUUGGAAAAAAUAGUUAUAGGUAAGGGCAGAGAAUGAUGCUAUAGUUCCAAUUCACAGUCUGUAUCAUGCAACUUAUUUCUGAAUGUUACUUAAUAUUUUUUCUAAUGUUUAUGCAUAUAAGAACAAUUUAUAUUAGAAAGAGUAAACUUCACUGUUAAUUAAAAGGAAAAAAGGAAUCUCUCCAUAGCCUGAACUCUGCCCAGUGGAAAGAAUGCCCCCAAGCCAAAGUGUAACACCAGUCCUUAAGGGAAAUACAAUCUUGAUUCCAUUGCUUUUAAAUAUGAGCUCCUUGUCUGUUUCAACGUAGCCUAAUUCAGGUGAAACAAAACCACUGAUCAGAAUGACAGAAAUCUAAUACUCGUUUGAAAUAGGCCAGUAAAGUGAGCCAUAGAUUGAUCCUGCUAGUUUGGUCUUACUAUUUUGGCCCUUGUGAACUUGGCAGAAAAUGUAAGCAGCCAUGUCCUUAGAACCCCUAGUGGAUAAAGAAUAUGCAACUUGUUGUGUGCCGUUUUACAAACUAACAGGGUCUUGUGAAUAACUACUGUUUCAUCUCUGUUUUCUGUGUUAUGAAUUCCAGUAAUAGUUUUCAAAUUGACAUCAGUGAUCCAAGUAAGUCAUCUGUAAUGUAGAAUGAGUAAGAUGGAACCAAUAUAGGGAAGGCAAAAACAGUCUUCAUUAUUACAGCCAGUACUGUCUAUUUCUCAUCUGUCAAAUUUAAGAAUUAUUCAUCAAAUAGGCAAAGAGGAGUUGAGAAAGGAAUCUUGUUUUUAGUUCAUUUCAAGAUUCUGUUAAAAACUUUUCCAUAGAAAUGAUUCCUAACUGUACUGCAUGAUUCUGUUUUCAUAGUUGUGAUUUUGUUUGUCUGUCUAAAGGCUGAUAGCUAAUUUGUUGCGGCUUGGAAGAAAUACUAAUUCUCUUUGGGGUUUUCCUCUUUAGCGGUGGGUCUCGGAAAAGUUCAUUGUUGAGGGCUUAAGAGAUUUGGAACUGUUUGGAGGUAAGUACAGUAUGGCAUUUAGCCAUCACUUCAGGAUAUAAAAAUCACUACUUUUUUGUUGACUAAAUCAAUCUAUAGCAAUUGGAAAUUCUAAGGGCAAGUGUAACCUACAGUUGUUGGAUUUUUUUGGUUCCUUUUUGAAUUUAUGGUUUCCCAAAGAUUUGAAGACUAACCUGGCAAUUUUCCUUGGCCUGUCUUGAUUGUUAGAAAGCCAGUAUUUACUUAAAAGCAUAUAUGUUUUCUUUUGUCCAGGUGAAAUACAUAUUUUUAAAGGAAGAAAACUAUUUAAAAGUCUCUAGCCUUGAUUUAAAAAAUAAUUGUCAAGACAAAGGAAACAAUGAUAUGAAAGUUCUGGUUUUAUUGAUGAAUCUAGUUGACUCAUUUUUUCAUGGUUGAAAUUAUGAGACUUAAGAGAACUAAGGAAAAAUUUUUCAGAACAAAAAUAUGAACUUCCUAUUGUAAAACCUGACUGUUGAUUUCAGAAGUAAACCUUGACAGGCCUAGGCAUUACCCUUUGGCCAUUUUCAAAGUGAGCCUUUUUGGGAACUGUCAUCUUAAUUUAGGGCAACAAAAAUUAUUUUCAAUAAAAAUAAUAGUAGAGCCCCAUUCUUUGUGUCUGAAUACUAAGAUACUCUUUUAGGAUCCUAUAGUUUAAGAAACAGAUUACCGGCCGGGUGUGGUGGCUCACGCCUGUAAUCCCAGCACAUUGGGAGGCCGAGGCGGGUGGAUCACGAGAUCAGGAGAUCGAGACCAUCCUGGCUAACAUGGUGAAACCCCGUAUCUACUAAAAAUACAAAAAAAUUAGCCGGGCGUGGUGGUGGGUGCCUGUAAUCCCAGCUACUCGAGGGGCUGAGGCAGGAGAAUGACGUGAACCCCAGGAGGCGGAGCUUACAGUGAGCUGAGAUCGUGCCUCUGCACUCCAGCCGGGCAACAG
rnacentral:sRNA from 1 species